AACGAACGCUGGCGGCAGGCUUAACACAUGCAAGUCGAACGGUGAACCCUCCUUCGGGAGGGGGAUCAGUGGCGAACGGGUGAGUAACACGUGACCAACCUGCCCCUUGCUCUGGGAUAACCCCGGGAAACCGGGGCUAAUACCGGAUACGAGUCCGCGCGGCAUCGCGCGGUCUGGAAAGUUUUUCGGCAAGGGAUGGGGUCGCGGCCUAUCAGCUUGUUGGUGGGGUAACGGCCUACCAAGGCGACGACGGGUAGCCGGCCUGAGAGGGGGACCGGCCACCCUGGGACUGAGACACGGCCCAGACUCCUACGGGAGGCAGCAGUGGGGAAUAUUGCGCAAUGGGCGAAAGCCUGACGCAGCGACGCCGCGUGAGGGAUGACGGCCUUCGGGUUGUAAACCCCUUUCAGGAGGGACGAAAAUGACGGUACCUCCAGAAGAAGCCCCGGCCAACUACGUGCCAGCCGCCGCUGUAACAC
rnacentral:rRNA from 1 species